rnacentral:rRNA from 1 species
AUCAUGAAUCAUACCUUGGGCCGCUGCCUCCUUUCGGUUGGCGCGCAGACUUCUAGUACAAUCCACUUUCGUGAUGUGACGGGCGGUGCGUACAAGGCCCGGGAACGUAUUCACGGCAUCGUUCUGAUAUGCCAUUACUAGCGAUUCCAGCUUCAUGCAGGCGAGUUGCAGCCUGCAAUCCGAACUGAGAACGGUUUUUUCCGCAUUCGCUCCCCCUCGCCGUCUUUCCUACCGCAAGAAACAACUUUCGUUUCAAGGCUGAAGCACGCUAUAUAAUAUGCUCCCCCCCCCCCCUGGGUGUGGACUGUAAUAUAACACAUACUCCUAUACUAUCUACAUCACCCUAACACUCCUCCCACCAUGCUCCACUCAAAAACUUAAAUCCUCGCAUACUACAGCCAUUCUCCCAGUGACUCCGCCUCGCAAACCAGAUAUACACAAUAUACACAAUACACAAAAACAACAACCA